AAGAAUAUAGUGUAAAAGCACAAAGAACUUUCAUUUCUUAGGUAACAUUCUUA
rnacentral:tRNA from 1 species